rnacentral:lncRNA from 1 species
AUGUUGUUGUGUAAAGUGUACAAGUCCAAAAGUAGUCAACAAAUGUUAUGUAUGGUAAGCAAAGUGUAGUCACAUAAACCAAAUGUAAAAAUGUACAAAACAAAGUAUUUUGAAUAUAUCAAAAAGUUAUGUUUUGCAAAGUAAAUGCAUGUUUAAUUGAUACUAACACUUAUGUGUGUACAAGUCCAAAAGUAGUCAACAAAUGUUAUGUAUGGUAAGCAAAGUGUAGUCACAUAAACCAAAUGUAAAAAUGUACAAAACAAAGUAUUUUGAAUAUAUCAAAAAGUUAUGUUUUGCAAAGUAAAUGCAUGUUUAAUUGAUACUAACACUUAUGUGGUAAGUUAAACGCAUACAUUCAAGCCUUGAGACAGACGGAUAACCUUAAGUCAAGGUUAUCAAAAGAAAUGUUUUCGGAUUCGGUCAUUCCUUACACCCAAACAAACCUAGGAUGUCAGGAACGGGAUUUGUCAAGUCCUAUGGUACCAUUACUUACUACCGAGCGGCGUAGCUAAUGUUAAUGAACGUAUAUAAGUCCCGUUUGCACAAACCAAAUGUUAUACCAAAUGUAAGCAUGUUAUAUGAAAACAAUGUACUAAUAUGCCAAGUAAACAUACAUAGCAAAACAAUGUAAUGUAAAUCGUGUACUAUAAGUGUACUAAUGAACAUAGCAAGUAUAUGAUAUGAAA